UGCUGUCUCACACCAUGGUCAACGAAGGGCUUAGUACCCAUUCGCCACCACUGCACUCAGCAGCACCCCCAAGGAGAAGAGACUCAUCUCUCAGCACAAGUCCCCCACCCUGAGCCUGACACAGGCAGGGUCUCAACAAGCAUCUACUGAAGCCGUGAAUGAACCAAUGGUCUCCGAAUAUGAGCAGCUGUCUCCUCAAAGCCUGCCCUUCACCACAGUCCAUUUCUGACAAACAGAUGGGGGGGCAGGCCUCUGGGGAGAGGGGCCCUUCCCAGCUGCAGGCAAAAUGCGGGCCAGUCCCUCCUGGCACGGACCCACAGGAGAGAAUGAGUUGACAAAAGCGAGCCUGUGGCCUGCACAGACGUCUGCUGGGAUGUGGGCAGCAGAAGCUGGCGACUGCAGGCCUGAGGUGGGGGCAGGGAAAGGGGCUGCCGGGCAUAAGGACAGUCCCCGGAGGACAGGACCCUCAGAGGCCACACUGAGCCCAGGAAUCCUCCUCGGUCCUCAGUCCUCCAGGCUCCACCCUAGGGAAGCUCUUGGGUGACAGGCCUAACUGAGGGAGCUGUGCGGUUUGCUGGGAGUUGGGGGAGCCUGGGCUUCCCCGCUCCUUCAUAGGCAGCCCAGGGGCCCUGCAGACCUCUACUCCACCAGAAGUAAAAGAGAAGCCAACUGGUUAUAGGAGCAAGGUUGGUGGGGUCUCUCUCCAAACAUGGGAGGAACCCUGAAUCUCAUCUUCCACCAAAAGACACAAAAGGUCCUACCACCUGGCAGUACCCACCUCAGAGUGUGGGGGGCCCAAGGCCAUGCUAAAGAAACUGGGAAAUAGGGCCGGGAAUUUGGCUCAGUGGUUCUCCCACCUGCCUGGCAAGCACAAGGGCUCAAGUUUGAUCCCCAGUACCAUUAAAAAAAAAAAGAAAGAAAGAAAGAAACUGGGAAAGAGGGACAGAUCUGGUGCAGCCCACAAGCCCUGUCUUUAAGUUGCCCUCUCUUCCCCAAGAGCUGCCCCUGAAGAACACCCUGAUUCUCCAAACCAAAGUGCAAAGGGGGUGGAGGGGAAGAUGGCGGACAGGGAUAGGACACCUACUCUGCUGCCGGGCCACUCUGCUAUGGGGUUAAGCAGGUAGUUUUCUGUCUCCUCACUUAGUCUUGCCCCUACCCCCAGCCCUCAAAUCCACCAUGACUGAAACAAGGUCACUCCUUCCUAGUUCCAGCCCCAGGCCAGGUACAUAUGUGCAUUAUUAUUCUCUUACUAGCUCUUUGAGGCAGGAGCUGAAAAUGUUCCAAUUUUACAGAUGAGGAAAUGGAGGCUCAGAAGUUUCCCAGAGCUGCUCCAGCAAAGGAGAAGUAGAGCUGGAUUCCACAUAGGAUGAGUAGCCCUGGGCCAGGGCAUUGUAGCUGUGUGUUCUCUGGGUUUACCCAGGCUCGUCCCACACUAACAUGGCCUUCACGAGGCUAACUCUCUUCCAGAACAUUCUCCCCUAAUUUGAUUCAGACCCCACAUUGACCUCUAUGGUACCUUGUGCUAAUAACUUUAGGUUGGAUUUGUCUUGUUUUCAAUUCUGCCUUCCCUCAGGGCUGGUUCCCAACAUGGCCCGGGGCAAAAUACAGGUAGACAAAUUAUUAAAGAAAGAUUGAGUAGAAGUACAGCUGCUGCCUGUAGUCUCUCUCCACAGCCAGGGGAGUGAGCUCUCCGAAUCCUAGUUCCAGGCCUACUACAAAGGAGCAGAGGAGCCGGGGGCAGAUCCUGAGUUGUUCUCAUACCUUCAUGCCAGUCCAGGAGGGAGGCUUGUGUCUGUUUUCCCAGGAAGCCUCCGCUCCCUGCCCACAAAAUCCUCUCUCUCUGUCCACCUCCAUGAUCCCAAGGGCUGCCUGCCUGAAGCAGCCUCUCAGAAAAGAGCUGCUCCUGCCAUGGCUGGUCCCCAGAAGUCCUGGAGAACUGGUCAGGAAGAGUCUCUGGGUCCAGGCUAGGCCAAAGGGCCCAAGAUGAGCUCACACUACUGCUAAGAAUAGCCAGGCUUGAAGGGCAGCUCCACAGUUUACAAAGGCAUUCAUUCCAUCACAAUCAUCUCACAGAUCCUUGUAGAAAGCCCUGGCUCAGGGAAGCCAGGAAUGCUCAUCCCUGUUCCACAGAUGAAGAGCCUCAAAGACGUUCAGGGAAGAUGGUGGACCGUGCCCAAGCCCACCCAGAGGGGUCAAAGACCUCCAGGCAAGACACAGACCACUACCCUUAGGAUCCCUACCCUGAAUCAUGACUUAGGGAGUAUGUAAACUUGGCCAUCACCUCUCUCACUAAAAAUUACUAUUUCCUUCUAUUCUGAACCCAAGAAACAAACCAGGGUUGUUAGUAGCACCUGUGACUUUGCCACCAAAAGUAAUCACAGAUAUUUUUAUAUCCCGUAAU